UCCCUAGUGGCUCAGACGGUAAAGCACCUGCCUGCUGAUGCAGGAGACCCAGGUUCGAUCCCUGGGUGGGGAA